GAUUUCUGGUUAAAUAGGCCUGGCCCGCCAAGGUUACUUGUGUGAGUGCCGGUGCGUAUUGACCAUCCUUGUAGUGUAUGUUGUCUACCCUUUACUGGGCCGGAUAAUAUGUGCUACAUCAUUUACUUUGAAAAAAUUAGAGUGUUUAAAGCAGGCUUUUUGCUAUGAAUACAUUAGCAUGGAAUAAUAAUUUAGGACUUUGGUUCUAUUUUGUUGGUUUCUAGAGCUGAAGUAAUGAUUGAUAGGGAUAGUUGGGGGUGCUCGAAUUCAGCGGCCAGAGGUGAAAUUCUUGGAUUCGCUGAAGACGAACUCAUGCGAAAGCAUU
rnacentral:rRNA from 1 species